rnacentral:rRNA from 1 species
AUGGCCAACUCAGAUCAAAUACCCAAACCCUUAGUGUAUUGGGAGCUCGCGGAGACGAGCAGAGACUCACAAUCAUGUCACCCCGUCACCCCAUCUCAAGGAAAUACGGCAAGGGCCAGGCCCAACCCUCUCUCUAGGGCGGUCUACCUGACUUCACAUAUCUUGCGGGUACCCCUCAGGGCUGACCCGUCUUUAACAUGGGCCUGGGGUAAAGCCAAGGUAACCAUGUGUCCAAAUAUCAAGGGGAAAAUCCGAGGAAUCACCCUUGAUGGAUUCCUUCUUGAUGUAUCCGUCAAGGUGAACUAG